UUUCCAUUUGUCUAUUUGCUAUGGAGGUCAAAGAGGUUUCCUGUAAACUUGAAGAGGCUCUUAAAAUUUCCAGGACUGUUGACAUAAUUUCAUAAACUCUGAAAAAUACGGAAAAUGAAAAUGUUUCCCUUUGCCAGCAGAUGUCACUGUUGCCUCUUAGCACUGACCAUAGUGUCUACAGGAGAUGAAGAUGAUGGAGAGCAAGCGAAGUAUUUGACUAAAGUCUCUGUGAAAAGGAGUCUGGAGGCACCUCUCUGGGACUGAUAUGGCGGGUCUGCUGUUUGAAAUGUAUCUGAAAUGGACAGCCCCUGAAACUCCAAAGGAAGAAGGAAUAUGCUCCACAAAAGCAAGGGAGUGCACUGAGAGAAAAGGCAUGGGACCCCCGGAACAGACUUUGAUAGGAGAGAGGCAAAAGGAAUUCACCAGCAUGGUAAUGAAAAGUCCUAGAUGAGAACUUCUGAGUGGAUCCAAGUGCAACUCUCUCAUACUACAGCAGGAAAACAAAAACUCCAAGACAGAGGACUCCCAAAGGAAAAGCAAUGGUGUUUACCAACAGUAUUACUAUUCUUGUGGUGAGUUUAAAGAAAAAUUAGCAGUACAGACAGUCAACUCAGCAAACAAGAAAUAAA